UAACAUCUUACUGCAGUUAUACUUUGAUGGAUAUUGACUUCUGUCUGGACCGCGGCCUCAUGAGGAGAUCUUCUUUCCACCCAGAUCAAUACAGGCUCUUGAUCGAGGGUGAGACUAUCCACUACUUUACUUUACCAGACCUCAUGUAACUUGUGUUUAUAAUCAGACCAACUGGGCCUAUUCCAUAGAAAGCUAAGGCGAGACAGUAGAUGAGCAAAG
rnacentral:lncRNA from 1 species